AGCGAACGCUGGCGGCAGGCCUAACACAUGCAAGUCGAGCGCCCCGCAAGGGGAGCGGCAGACGGGAGAGUAACACGUGGGAACGUACCCUUCAGUUCGGAACAACCCAGGGAAACUUGGGCUAAUACCGAAUACGUCCGUAAGGAGAAAGAUUUAUCGCUGAAGGAUCGGCCCGCGUCUGAUUAGCUAGUUGGUGAGGUAACGGCUCACCAAGGCGACGAUCAGUAGCUGGUCNGAGA
rnacentral:rRNA from 1 species